UAGGGAAUAUUGCACAAUGGAGGAAACUCUGAUGCAGCCAUGCCGCGUGUGUGAAUAAGGACCGGCUAAUUCCGUGCCAGCAGCCGCGGUAAUACGGAAGGUUCGGGCGUUAUCCGGAUUUAUUGGGUUUAAAGGGAGCGUAGGCCGGAGAUUAAGCGUGUUGUGAAAUGUAGACGCUCAACGUCUGCACUGCAGCGCGAACUGGUUUCCUUGAGUACGCACAAAGUGGGCGGAAUUCGUGGUGUAGCGGUGAAAUGCUUAGAUAUCACGAAGAACUCCGAUUGCGAAGGCAGCUCACUGGAGCGCAACUGACGCUGAAGCUCGAAAGUGCGGGUAUCGAACAGGAUUAGAUACCCUGGUAGU
rnacentral:rRNA from 1 species